UUUUUCCAGCCCAUUGAGUUAACUGGUCGAGUUCUUCCUCCUCCUAAGUUGCAGUUGAAUGCCAGCAAUGCUGUUGUGCCUUACCAGGGACAGUGGAACAUUAAAGAUAAGGAAUUUUUUCAAAGCAAGAAUAUUGAAUUCUGGGCAGUUCUCAAUUAUUCAGACAGAUUAUCUGAAGACUCAGUGAGUGAUUUUGUGAAAAAGAUAAUGGACACUGGAAAAUAUCGUGGAAUGGAUAUCAGACACCCAUUAGAAAUAAGAACUGUGAAAUAUUCAAAACAGAAUCCGGAGUUUGACCUUCCUUCCCUCAAAGAGAAGUAUCCUCAACUACAAUUGCUUAUGGUGAUUUUGGUAUCAAAAAAACCAGAUAGCCCUUAUGGCGGGUUGAGGAAUAAACACAUCAUUCGCUGGA